rnacentral:lncRNA from 1 species
GCCCCCGCAGCCGCUUCCAGACACCGUUGGGCUCCGGGUCGGGCUCGGCGGCUCCCAUCUCGAAGCCGAAAUCGCGGACGGGGUCGCGACCGAAGAGCCACAUCGCGACGGCGGUGCCACACGGAGGUGGGGGGUGGGGGGGGGGGGGGGGGGGGGGCUGAACCACCCCCAAAAUUACCGAAUAUCCGUGAAACUGACCCAAAAAAACCACCCGGCGGCAUCGGGGUUUUCGGCGCGGUUCCGAGACGAAGCGUUUUUUGGUGAGAUUUUUGGUAAAACGGCGUUUUCCGUACCUACGGUCGCACGGGGAGAAGGCGCAAAACGGGCUCAGAAAGAGGGAUUUUAGGUCAAUCGCGCGUCCAAAAUUGGCUCAGAAAUGGGGAUUUUUUGGGGGUCAGCCGCGCAUCCGAAACGGGCUCAGAAAUGGGGAUUUUUGGGUCAGCCACGCAUCCGAAAUGGGCUCAGAAAUGGGGAUUUUUGGGUCAGCCAC